UGCUUGCAGGGGAAAGUAAAGUGGCGCACGGGUGAGUAACGCGUGGGUAACCUGUCCUAAAAUCUGGGAUAACUUCGCGAAAGCGAUGCUAAUACCGGAUACCGUCUUAGAGACCUUGGUUUCUUAGAUGAAAGAUGACUUCUUUAUGAAAGUUGUCGUUUAAGGAGGGGCUCGCGUACCAUUAGCUAGUUGGUGGGGUAAUGGCCUACCAAGGCUACGGUGGUUAGCUGGUCUGAGAGGAUGACCAGCCACACUGGAACUGAAAUACGGUCCAGACUCCUACGGGAGGCAGCAGUGAGGAAUUUUGCGCAAUGGGGGAAACCCUGACGCAGCAACGCCGCGUGAGUGAAGAAGGCCUUUGGGUCGUAAAGCUCUGUCAGGUGGAAAAAAUGAUACAUGGUAAAUAGCCAUGUAUUUUGAUGGUACCACCAGAGGAAGCACCGGCUAACUCCGUGUUAGCAGUCGCGGUAAUACGGAGGGUGCAAGCGUUGUUCGGAAUUACUGGGCGUAAAGAGCGUGUAGGCGGUAUGGUAGGUCAGAUGUGAAAGUCCUGGGUUUAAUCCAGGAAGUGCAUUUGAUACUGCUAUUCUUGAGUAUGGGAGAGGUGAGUGGAAUUCCCAGUGUAGAGGUGAAAUUUGUAGAUAUUGGGAGGAAUAUCCGUGGCGAAGGCGACUCACUGGACCAAUACUGACGCUGAGACGCGAAAGCAUGGGGAGUAAAUAGGAUUAGAUACCCUGGUAGUCCAUGCCAUAAACGAUGAGAACUAGGUGUAGCGGGUAUUGACCCCUGCUGUGCCGAAGCUAACGCAUUAAGUUCUCCGCCUGGGGAGUACGGCCGCAAGGCUAAAACUCAAAGGAAUUGACGGGGACCCGCACAAGCGGUGGAGCAUGUGGUUUAAUUCGACGCAAUGCGAAGAACCUUACCUGGAUUUGACAUCCUUUGACCGUCCUGGAAACAGGAUUUUCCAUGUUUACAUGGACAAAGUGACAGGUGCUGCAUGGCUGUCGUCAGCUCGUGUUGUGAGAUGUUGGGUUAAGUCCCGCAACGAGCCAACCCCUGUUUUUAGUUGCCUUUAUUAAGUUAGGCACUCUAAAGAUACUGCCUCGGUUAACGGGGAGGAAGGUGGGGAUGACGUCAAGUCCUUAUGGCCUUUAUAUCCAGGGCUACACACGUGCUACAAUGGGCUGUACAAAGAGCAGCAACUCCGUGAGGGGAAGCUAAUCUUAAAAAGCAGUUCUCAGUUCGGAUUGGAGUCUGUAAUUCGACUCCAUGAAGUUGGAAUCGCUAGUAAUCGUGGAUUAGUAUGCCACGGUGAAUACGUUCCCGGGUCUUGUACACACCGCCCGUCACACCACGAAAGUUGACUGUACCAGAAGUUGCUAGGCUAAUUUUUUGGGGGAGCAGGUACCUAAGGUACGGCCAGUAAUUGGGGUGAAGUCGUAACAAGGUA
rnacentral:rRNA from 1 species